rnacentral:rRNA from 1 species
UACGUAGGGUGCAAGCGUUAAUCGGAAUUACUGGGCGUAAAGCGUGCGCAGGCGGUGAUGUAAGACAGUUGUGAAAUCCCCGGGCUCAACCUGGGAACUGCAUCUGUGACUGCAUUGCUGGAGUGCGGCAGAGGGGGAUGGAAUUCCGCGUGUAGCAGUGAAGUGCGUAGAUAUGCGGAGGAACACCGAUGGCGAAGGCAAUCCCCUGGGCCUGCACUGACGCUCAUGCACGAAAGCGUGGGGAGCAAACAGG